UACGGAGGAUCCGAGCGUUAUCCGGAUUUAUUGGGUUUAAAGGGUGCGUAGGCGGCCUUUUAAGUCAGCGGUGAAAGUCUGUGGCUCAACCAUAGAAUUGCCGUUGAAACUGGGGGGCUUGAGUAUGUUUGAGGCAGGCGGAAUGCGUGGUGUAGCGGUGAAAUGCAUAGAUAUCACGCAGAACCCCGAUUGCGAAGGCAGCCUGCCGCAGCGUUACUGACGCUGAAGCUCGAAAGCGCGGGUAUCGAACAGG
rnacentral:rRNA from 1 species